rnacentral:rRNA from 1 species
CGCGGUAAUUCCAGCUCCAAUAGCGUAUACUAAAGUGUUGCAGUUAAAAAGCUCGUAGUUGGAUUUCUGGCGGGGACGGCUGGUCGGUCUCGAAAGGGGCUGUACUGUUGUUGGUUCCCGUCAUCCUUGGGGAGAGCGGCUCUUACAUUAAGUUGUCGGCGUCGGGAUCCCUAUCUUUUACUGUGAAAAAAUUAGAGUGUUCAAAGCAGGCUUAGGCCCUGAAUACAUUAGCAUGGAAUAAUAAGAUACGACCUUGGUGGUCUAUUUUGUUGGUUUGCACGCCAAGGUAAUGAUUAAUAGGGAUAGUUGGGGGUAUUCGUAUUCAAUUGUCAGAGGUGUAAUUCUUGGAUUUAUGGAAGACGAACUACUGCGAAAGCAUUUACCAAGGAUGUUUUCAUUAAUCAAGAACGAAAGUUAGGGGAUCGAAGAUGAUUAGAUACCAUCGUAGUCUUAACCAUAAACUAUGCCGACUAGGGAUCGGUGGGUGCAUUUUUAGGCCUCAUCGGCACCUUAUGAGAAAUCAAAGUCUUUGGGUUCCGGGGGGAGUAUGGUCGCAAGGCUGAAACUUAAAGAAAUUGACGG